rnacentral:rRNA from 1 species
CCUGGCUCCGUUGAACGCUAGCGACAGGCUUAACACAUGCAAGUCGAGGGGCAGUACAGGUAGCAAUACCGGGUGGCGACCGGCGCACGGGUGAGUAACGCGUAUGCAACUUACCUAUCAGAGGGGGAUAACCCGGCGAAAGUCGGACUAAUACCGCAUGAAGCAGGGGCCCCGCAUGGGGAUAUUUGCUAAAGAUUCAUCGCUGAUAGAUAGGCAUGCGUUCCAUUAGGCAGUUGGCGGGGUAACGGCCCACCAAACCGACGAUGGAUAGGGGUUCUGAGAGGAAGGUCCCCCACAUUGGUACUGAGACACGGACCAAACUCCUACGGGAGGCAGCAGUGAGGAAUAUUGGUCAAUGGCCGAGAGGCUGAACCAGCCAAGUCGCGUGAGGGAUGAAGGUUCUAUGGAUCGUAAACCUCUUUUAUAAGGGAAUAAAGUGCGGGACGUGUCCGUUUUGUAUGUACCUUAUGAAUAAGGAUCGGCUAACUCCGUGCCAGCAGCCGCGGUAAUACGGAGGAUCCGAGCGUUAUCCGGAUUUAUUGGGUUUAAAGGGUGCGUAGGCGGCCUUUUAAGUCAGCGGUGAAAGUCUGUGGCUCAACCAUAGAAUUGCCGUUGAAACUGGGGGGCUUGAGUAUGUUUGAGGCAGGCGGAAUGCGUGGUGUAGCGGUGAAAUGCAUAGAUAUCACGCAGAACCCCGAUUGCGAAGGCAGCCUGCCAAGCCAUGACUGACGCUGAUGCACGAAAGCGUGGGGAUCAAACAGGAUUAGAUACCCUGGUAGUCCACGCAGUAAACGAUGAUCACUAGCUGUUUGCGAUACACUGUAAGCGGCACAGCGAAAGCGUUAAGUGAUCCACCUGGGGAGUACGCCGGCAACGGUGAAACUCAAAGGAAUUGACGGGGGCCCGCACAAGCGGAGGAACAUGUGGUUUAAUUCGAUGAUACGCGAGGAACCUUACCCGGGUUUGAACGCAUUCGGACCGAGGUGGAAACACCUUUUCUAGCAAUAGCCGUUUGCGAGGUGCUGCAUGGUUGUCGUCAGCUCGUGCCGUGAGGUGUCGGCUUAAGUGCCAUAACGAGCGCAACCCUUGCCACUAGUUACUAACAGGUAAAGCUGAGGACUCUGGUGGGACUGCCAGCGUAAGCUGCGAGGAAGGCGGGGAUGACGUCAAAUCAGCACGGCCCUUACAUCCGGGGCGACACACGUGUUACAAUGGCGUGGACAAAGGGAGGCCACCUGGUGACAGGGAGCGAAUCCCCAAACCACGUCUCAGUUCGGAUCGGAGUCUGCAACCCGACUCCGUGAAGCUGGAUUCGCUAGUAAUCGCGCAUCAGCCAUGGCGCGGUGAAUACGUUCCCGGGCCUUGUACACACCG